rnacentral:lncRNA from 1 species
AAUUGCAUGAUUGUGGUUUGGAACUGAGGAAUUUGUGAUUGGGUGGAGAUUAGAGGGGUUAGGAAUGGGUUUUGCAAAAAUCCCGACGCCACUGCUGAGCGGUCAGUGGACGUUGAGCGGUAGGCGGCAGAUUUCGUUUUUGGCAUUAUUUUGUGAUGCAGGUGGCGCUGAGGGGUCCUGUUUUGCCCUCAGCGCUGGACAAUGUUUGAAUGGUGUAUGUUUGAUGGUUUUCUAACCCUUAAUGGUGAAUUUCCUUGGUCUUGUGAAUUGUA